AUGACAACAGAACCCACAACAACCAUGACUUUAGUCACCAUCUUCAUCUGGACACUUGCUUUCUGCAUAGAAGAAUCCAGAGGACAGCCUUACAAGUACGUUGUGACAAAGACUCCGGCAGUGAAAGCUGUUGUCCCAGAACAGACAGUCUCUCUGAACUGUAAAACCAGCAGUAAUGUUUACAACAAUGACUUCCUAGCCUGGUACCACCAGAAACCUGGGGGAGCUCCUAAACUCCUGAUAUACUGGGCUACAACACUUCAGUCUGGGACUCCAUCUAGAUUCAGUGGCAGUGGCUCUCAUAGUGACUUCACUCUGACCAUCAGUGGAGUCCAGGUUGAAGAUGCAGGAGAUUACUACUGUCAGAGUUACAACUACAUCAAUAGUAAAGAUGUGUUCACACAGUGA